rnacentral:rRNA from 1 species
UACGUAGGGGGCUAGCGUUGUCCGGAAUCAUUGGGCGUAAAGAGCGCGUAGGCGGCCCGGUAAGUCCGCUGUAAAAGUCCAGGGCUCAACCCUGGAAAGCCGGUGGAUACUGUCGGGCUCGAGUCCGGAAGAGGCGAGUGGAAUUCCUGGUGUAGCGGUGGAAUGCGCAGAUAUCAGGAGGAACACCAAUGGCGAAGGCAGCUUGCUGGGCUACUCCUGACACUGAGGUACGAAAGCGUGGGGAGCGAACAGG